CAUCGGGAGAGACUAACAGGAUUCCCCUAGUAACUGCGAGUGAAGCGGGAAAAGCUCAAAUUUAAAAUCUGGCGGUCUUUGGCCGUCCGAGUUGUAGUCUGGAGAAGUGCUUUCCGCGCUGGACCGUGUAUAAGUCUCUUGGAACAGAGCGUCAUAGAGGGUGAGAAUCCCGUCUUUGACACGGACUACCAGUGCUUUGUGAUGCGCUCUCAAAGAGUCGAGUUGUUUGGGAAUGCAGCUCAAAAUGGGUGGUGAAUUCCAUCUAAAGCUAAAUAUUGGCGAGAGACCGAUAGCGAACAAGUACCGUGAGGGAAAGAUGAAAAGCACUUUGGAAAGAGAGUUAAACAGUACGUGAAAUUGCUGAAAGGGAAACGCUUGAAGUCAGUCGCGUUGUCUGGGACUCAGCCUUGCUUUUGCUUGGUGCACUUUCCGGAUGACGGGCCAGCAUCGAUUUUGACCGUCGGAAAAGGGCUAGGGUAAUGUGGCACCUCCGGGUGUGUUAUAGACUUUAGUCGCAUACGGCGGCCGGGAUCGAGGAACGCAGCGCGCCGUAAGGCAGGGGUUCGCCCACUUUCGCGCUUAGGAUGCUGGCGUAAUGGCUUUAAACGACCCGUCUUGAAACACGGACCAAGGAGUCUAACAUACCUGCGAGUGUUUGGGUGGAAAACCCGAGCGCGUAAUGAAAGUGAAAGUUGAGACCUCUGUCGUGGAGGGCAUCGACGCCCGGACCUGACGUUCUCUGACGGAUCCGCGGUAGAGCAUGUAUGUUGGGACCCGAAAGAUGGUGAACUAUGCCUGAAUAGGGUGAAGCCAGAGGAAACUCUGGUGGAGGCUCGUAGCGAUUCUGACGUGCAAAUCGAUCGUCAAAUUUGGGUAUAGGGGCGAAAGACUAAUCGAACCAUGUAUGCAC
rnacentral:rRNA from 1 species